CCUACGGGAGGCAGCAGUGGGGAAUAUUGCACAAUGGGGGAAACCCUGAUGCAGCGACGCCGCGUGAGUGAAGACGUCACUCGUGAUGUAAAGCUCCUUUAGCAGGGAAGAAAAUGACGGUACCUGACCAAGAAGCCCCGGCUUACUUCGUGCCAGCAGCCCUGGGUAUACGGAGGGGGCAAGCGUUAUCCGGAUUUACUGGGUGUAAAGGGAGCGUAGAGGGUUGCGGAAGUCUGGAGUGAAAGGCGGGGGUCCAACCCCCGGACUGCUCUGGAAACUGUGUAACUGGAGUGCAGGAGAGGUAGGUGGAAUUCCUAGUGUAGCGGUGAAAUGCGUAGAUAUUAGGAGGAACACCAGUGGCGAAGGCGGCUUACUGGACUGUAACUGACGUUGAGGCUCGAAAGUGUGGGGAGCAAACAGGAUUAGAUACCCUAGUAGUC
rnacentral:rRNA from 1 species